rnacentral:rRNA from 1 species
UACAGAGGUCCCAAGCGUUGUUCGGAUUCACUGGGCGUAAAGGGUGCGUAGGCGGUCGGGUAAGUCUGAUGUGAAAUCUCCAAGCCUAACUUGGAAACUGCAUUGGAUACUAUCCGGCUAGAGGAAUGGAGGGGAGACUGGAAUACUUGGUGUAGCAGUGAAAUGCGUAGAUAUCAGGUGGAACACCAGUGGCGAAGGCGAGUCUCUGGACAUUUCCUGACGCUGAGGCACGAAAGCCAGGGGAGCAAACGGG